rnacentral:rRNA from 1 species
AACGAACGCUGGCGGCAGGCCUAACACAUGCAAGUCGAGCGAGGACUUCGGUCCUAGCGGCGGACGGGGGAGUAACGCGUGGGAACGUGCCCUUUGCUUCGGAAUAGCCCUGGGAAACUGGGAGUAAUACCGGAUGAGCCCUUUGGGGGAAAGAUUUAUCGGCGAAGGAUCGGCCCGCGUUGGAUUAGGUAGUUGGUGGGGUAAUGGCCUACCAAGCCGACGAUCCAUAGCUGGUUGGAGAGGAUGAUCAGCCACACUGGGACUGAGACACGGCCCAGACUCCUACGGGAGGCAGCAGUGGGGAAUCUUAGACAAUGGGGGAAACCCUGAUCUAGCCAUGCCGCGUGAGCGAUGAAGGCCUUAGGGUUGUAAAGCUCUUUCAGCUGGGAAGAUAAUGACGGUACCAGCAGAAGAAGCCCCGGCUAACUCCGUG